rnacentral:lncRNA from 10 species
CACACUGCACUGGGAAGUGUUCAGGGAAAUCUUCAUUCAUAGCUUUAAAGAUUUUGAAAGAGAAAAUGUGGCUGUGUUCCUAUGUGUAGAAGAAAAUGGUACCUUGCCAACAGGAACAAGAUGUUUUGCCUCAUCAAUAAAGACUGCACCCAACCAGAUAAGGAUGUAACCAAGCACACUCUUCCACUGUCAGUCUUCAUCAGAGGACUCUGUGACCAUAAAAACAGCAGGACUUCAGCAGCUUAAAACAGCCAUCUUAACAGACCCCAUCUUGCUGUAACUUGUAAUAAGCACCCACCAUCUGCCGUAAAAGCAUCUACCCACAUCGAAGAUGCUUCCUUGUAAGAUCCGUGGACCUCCUGGCCUCUUUUUGUCCUUGUCCCUCUCCCUAGACUGGUUCAUUAACCCUUUAUCCUGUCCCCUUUCUCUUGAUGUUAAAUGUUACUUUGUUUGUUGUGGAAAGCUUAAUCUGUAACAUUUAUAUAUUGGUUAAGUAUAUUAUUAUGCAUGGUUUGCAAUACUGACUGACUUGUGGAGUGGCUUGAGCCUGUGUGCCCACGUCUCUGACUACCAAGUCAAUGGGAAGUAGUAGGAGAAUUGUCCCCUUCGGAACUUCAUGUAGCUCAUGGCUUUUAUGAUUGAAAUAGCAUCAGUAAAAGUGUGACCUUGUGGAAAGACACAGAUAUACAUGAACCUGGUUAUCUCUGACUUUGCAACACUCACAAUAGGUACUAUAUGAAGUUUCAUGCAUCCACUCAAGGUCUUGUAACAUAUCUCCCAUGGACAAGGGAGUACUACUAUUUUCUGUUUCUAACAAUUAAUUCAAAAUGGAUUUCAGGCAAUUGAGCAUAUAUGAACCCAGGCUGCAUUGACGAUAUUAAAUAAUUGAUAAUAUUAAGGAACUACUGUUAAAUUUUAUUUUAUUUAUUUAUUUUUUUUCUGAUGGAGUUUCACUCUUGUUGCCCAGGCUGGAGUGCACUGCCGUGAUCUUGGCUCCUGGAUUCAAGAGAUUCUCCUGCCUCAGCCUCCCAAGUAGCUGGGAUUACAGGCACCCGCCACCAUGCCCACCUAAUUUUUGUAUUUUUAGUAGAGACAGGAUUUCCUCAUGUUGACCAGGCUGGUCUCGAACUCCUGACCUCAGGUGAUCUACCCGCCUCGGCCUCCCAAAGUGCUGGGAUUACAAACGUGACCCACCAAGCCUGGCUACUGUUACAUUUUAAAGAGUGAUUAGGCUGUUAUGGUUGUGUUAAAAAGAAGUUCUUGCAUUUAGACAAGUAACACAUUAUUUUGAAUGAAGCUAUACACUAUGUCUUUUAUAAAUAACACAUGAAGGGGUGGUUGUGUUCCCGGACUGAACCGAGAUUCAGGCUGCUCAUUCUCGGCAGCCCAAUAACAAGAUGCAGAUGAACUCGGAAAGAAGAGAGUUUAUUUCUGUAACUGGGUACAGGGAGAAGGCGGGGAAAAUAUCGCCAGACAAACUCAAAUUACAAAGUUUUCCAGAGCUUGUAUAUCUUCUAAGCUAUAUGUCUACGUGUAAGCGUGCAUUCAUCUAAAGACAUUGGUGAUGAACUUCUAAUCUAUAACUAAGGUCUGAGUCCUGAAGGCCUUUCUCUGGAGCCUCAGUAAUUGGCUUAAUCUAGAUGGGUCCAAGUGCUGGGGUGAUUACCCUUAUCUUGUCUCCUGCUAAAUCAUGGAGGUUUGGGGAGUUCCUCUAGACCCCCAACAAACUUGUUUGUGGAGGCCUGGGGAGUUUCUUCAGACCCCCAAUAAAACUGUUUAAUCCUAAAAGGGUCCUGUUAAGAAUUCCUUCAUUAUCUUGUCAUGCCUGAAGGCCCAGGAGAGGCCUGGGCAGAACUCUUGGUGGGCUUUUGUUACAUUCCAGCCUUUGUAUGAGGACACUGGCUCUUUCAGCUUUUAAUAUUUAACUUCACCACUCGGUCAGUGCUGAAACAGUUGUUACAAAGGCCUGCCUGUUCAGCUGUUAGUGAGGCCUGGACUGCCACCGUAGUGCGACUCAAGUUUGCCCAUGUAUGGAUAACUGUUGAAGCUAGUUACUAAGUACAUGAGACUUCAUUAUAAUUUUAUAUAUAUAUGUGUGUGUGUGUGUGUGUGUGUGUACGCAUAUACAUUCUAACUUUUUUUUAAAGUAAGGCAAGUCCUUUUCACAGGAUAGAAUAACUUUUGACAGCCAGUAAAAAUAUACAUUUAUGAGAUGUAUGAUAAAACACAAUCUUUAGGAAAUGAUUAGCAAAAUUAAAAUGAUAACAAUAACUGUGGGAAUUGAGAGUUCGAAAGCUUCUAUAUUUGUGCAGUAAUUCUAAGCUGGCACCCAGGCAUCGUCCGUCAUCUGGCCCACCAUUUGUAUAUGCUUUUUAUUCUCAUGUUCUCAUAAGACCCACUCCACCACCAGGCACACAAUUUGUGUUCUGAGCAGGAAACAGGAAAAUCUGAAUGGGAAUUUUCACUGCAAGAAAUUAUUGCUUAUGUUUAUUGACCACAUAUGAGGCACAGAAGUGACUUGGCACCACACUACAGAAUUAGCCGGGAAAUCAAGCACCUUGGUGUUGUCGCCCUGUAGUGUGAGAAGACAAGGAAAACUAAGUUUGCAUGGGCGUUGAGUGAGCUCAUGUACGAUACCUGCCACAAUAAUUCUAUUUCUCCACCCAGUAAAGAGUUUAGGAAUAGAAGAGCCAUGCAUUACAGGCCAAUGGAAUAUGAAGGCAACAUGUAUAAUAUGGGACAUUGUGGUCUGCCAUUUUCCCUGAAAUCAUGGCAAGUAUUUUGGGAAUAUUAAUGAAGCCAGGUCAAGGACAGAAAAUGACAAAGCAAAGAAAUGAAAAAACCCUGAACCCUCAAGGCCAUCACACACUUAUUAUUUU